rnacentral:rRNA from 1 species
UACGUAGGAGACGAGCGUUGUCCGGAGUUACUGGGCGUAAAGGGUGCGCAGGCGGCCUGGCGCGUCGCGAGUGAAAUCUCCUGGCUCAACUGGGAGGGUGGUCGCGAGACGGCUGGGCUUGAGGCUCGGGUGAGGGGCGUGGAAUUCCGGGUGGAGCGGUGAAAUGCGUAGAGAUCCGGAGGAACACCGACGGCGUAGGCAGCGCCCUAGACGAGACCUGACGCUCAGGCACGAAAGCGCGGG